GUGCCAGCAGCCGCGGUAAGACAUAGGUCGCGAACGUUAUCCGGAAUUAUUGGGCGUAAAGGAUGCGUAGGUGGUUCGGUAAGUUACUGGUGGGAAAUCGAGGCUCAACCUCGUGGAAGUCAGUAAUACUAUCGAGCUUGAGUGCAGGAGAGGUUAAUGGAAUUUUAUGUGGAGCGGUAAAAUGCGUAGAUAUAUAAAAGAACAUCAAUUGGCGAAGGCAGUUAACUAUUCUGCUACUGACAUUGAGGCAUGAAAGCGUGGGGAGCAAAACGGAUUAGAUACCCGCGUAGUCC
rnacentral:rRNA from 1 species